GACAGAGGUGCCGAGCGUUAGGCGGAAUCACUGGGCUUAAAGCGUGUGUAGGCGGACUUCUAAGUACCUUGUGAAAUCCCACGGCUCAACCGUGGAACUGCUUGGUAUACUGGUUGUCUUGAGCCACUUAGGGGUCAGCGGAACAAAUGGUGGAGCGGUGAAAUGCGUAGAUAUCAUUUGGAACGCCAAUGGUGAAAACAGCUGACUGGGAGUGUGCUGACGCUGAGACACGAAAGCCAGGGGAGCGAACGGG
rnacentral:rRNA from 1 species